CGGAUUAGCUAGUUGGUGAGGUAAAGGUUCACCAAGGCGACGAUCCGUAGCGGGUCUGAGAGGACGACCCGCCACACUGGAAAUGAGACACGGUCCAGUCUCUUACGGGAGGGAGCAGUGGGGAAUUUUGGACAAUGGGGGAAACCCUGAUCCAGCCAUUCCGCGUGAGUGAAGAAGGCCUUCGGGUUGUAAACCUUUUUAAACAGGAACGAAACGGUAGGCUUUAAUACAGUUUGCUAAUGACGGUACCUGCUGAAG
rnacentral:rRNA from 1 species